rnacentral:rRNA from 1 species
GCUUGUCUCAAAGAUUAAGCCAUGCAUGUCUAAGUACAAAUGUUGUAAAGUGAAACUGCGAAUGGCUCAUUAUAUCAGUUAUAGUUUACUUGAUAAAACACUACAUGGAUAACCGUAGUAAUUCUAGAGCUAAUACAUGCUAAUAAGCAUUUAUUGGAAACACCAACACUAAUGGCGAGUCACAAUAAAAAAGCAUAUCGUUUAUCGAUGAAUCAAUCAAGUUUCUGCCCUAUCAGCUGUCGAUGGUAGAGUAUUGGCCUACCAUGGCGUUCACGGGUAACGGAGAAUUAGGGUUCGAUUCCGGAGAGGGAGCCUGAGAGAUGGCUACCACAUCCAAGGAAGGCAGCAGG